GUCUCUGUGGCGCAAUGGGUCGGCACAAUGGGUCAGCGCGUUCGGCUGUUAACUGAAAGGAUGGUGGUUCGAGCCCACCCAGGGACG